rnacentral:rRNA from 1 species
GAUGAACGCUGGCGGCGUGCCUAAUACAUGCAAGUCGAGCGAACAGAUGAGGAGCUUGCUCCUCUGACGUUAGCGGCGGACGGGUGAGUAACACGUGGAUAACCUACCUAUAAGACUGGGAUAACUUCGGGAAACCGGAGCUAAUACCGGAUAAUAUAUUGAACCGCAUGGUUCAAUAGUGAAAGACGGUUUUGCUGUCACUUAUAGAUGGAUCCGCGCCGCAUUAGCUAGUUGGUAAGGUAACGGCUUACCAAGGCGACGAUGCGUAGCCGACCUGAGAGGGUGAUCGGCCACACUGGAACUGAGACACGGUCCAGACUCCUACGGGAGGCAGCAGUAGGGAAUCUUCCGCAAUGGGCGAAAGCCUGACGGAGCAACGCCGCGUGAGUGAUGAAGGUCUUCGGAUCGUAAAACUCUGUUAUUAGGGAAGAACAAAUGUGUAAGUAACUAUGCACGGCUUGACGGUACCGAAUCAGAAAGCCACGGCUAACUACGUG